rnacentral:rRNA from 1 species
CAGCAGCCGCGGUAAUACGUAGGGGGCAAGCGUUAUCCGGAUUUACUGGGUGUAAAGGGAGCGUAGACGGAAGGACAAGUCUGAUGUGAAAGCCCGCGGCUCAACUGCGGAACUGCAUUGGAAACUGUCCAUCUGGAGUAUCGGAGGGGUGAGCGGAAUUCCUGGUGUAGCGGUGAAAUGCGCAGAUAUCAGGAAGAACACCGGCGGCGAAGGCGGCUCACUGGACGAUAACUGACGUUGAGGCUCGAAAGCGUGGGUAGCAAACAGGAUUAGAUACCCUGGUAGUCCACGCUGUGAACGAUGAAUACUAGGUGUGGGUGAGCACAGCUCAUCCGUGCCGCAGCAAACGCAAUAAGUAUUCCACCUGGGGAGUACGUUCGCAAGAAUGAAACUCAAAUAAAUUGACGG